rnacentral:rRNA from 1 species
GAUGGAAUUCCAGGUGUAGCGGUGGAAUGCGUAGAUAUCUGGAAGAACACCAGUUGCGAAGGCGGUCACCUGGCCCAAUACUGACGCUGAGGCUCGAAAGCUAGGGGAGCGAACAGGAUUAGAUACCCUGGUAGUCCUAGCCGUAAACGAUGGAUACUAGUUGCUGGAGGAGUCAAUCCUUUCAGUGACGAAGUUAACGCAUUAAGUAUCCCGCCUGGGGAGUACGCUCGCAAGGGUGAAACUCAAAGGAAUUGACGGGGGCCCGCACAAGCGGUGGAGCAUGUGCUUUAAUUCGAUGCAACGCGAAGAACCUUACCUGGGUUUGACAUGGGAGUGAAAGGAUCCAGAGAUGGAACCCCUUCCGCAAGGAACACUUCACACAGGUGCUGCAUGGUUGUCGUCAGCUCGUGUCGUGAGAUGUUGGGUUAAGUCCCGCAACGAGCGCAACCCCUGCCCUUAGUUGCCAUCAGGUAAAGCUGGGAACUCUAAGGGGACCGCCUGUCGUAAGCAGGAGGAAGGUGGGGAUGACGUCAAAUCAUCAUGGCCCUUACGCCCAGGGCUAGACACGUGCUACAAUGGUCGGUACAAUGGGAUGCGAACCUGCGAGGGCAAGCUAAUCCCAGAAAACCGGCCUCAGUCCGGAUUGGAGUCUGCAACUCGACUCCAUGAAGUUG